rnacentral:rRNA from 1 species
AUUGCACAAUGGGCGAAAGCCUGAUGCAGCAACGCCGCGUGAGCGAUGAAGGCCUUCGGGUCNUAAAGCUCUGUCCUCAAGGAAGNNCCNNNCNGUACUUCAGGAGGAAGCCCCGGCUAACUACGUGCCANCAGCCGCGGUAAUACGUAGGGGGCUAGCGUUAUCCGGAAUUACGGGGCGUAAAGGGUGCGGAGGUGGUUUCUUAAGCCAGAGGUGAAAGGCUACGGCUCAACCGUAGUAAGCCUUUGAAACUGGGAAACUUGAGUGCAGGAGAGGAGAGUGGAAUUCCUAGUGUAGCGGUGAAAUGCGUAGAUAUUAGGAGGAACGCCAGUUGCGAAGGCGGCUCUCUGGACUGUAACUGACACUGAGGCACGAAAGCGUGGGGAGCAAACA